rnacentral:rRNA from 1 species
GAUGAACGCUGGCGGCGUGCCUAACACAUGCAAGUCGAACGGAGAUUCCGGACGGAAGUUUUCGGAUGGAAGCCUGUAAUUCUUAGUGGCGGACGGGUGAGUAACGCGUGGGCAACCUGCCCUAUACAGGGGGAUAGCAGCUGGAAACGGCUGGUAAGACCGCAUAAGUCGGCGAGACCGCAUGGUUUUGCCGGGAAAUGAGCAAUCAGGUAUAGGAUGGGCCCGCGUCCGAUUAGCCAGUUGGCAGGGUAAAAGCCUACCAAAGCAACGAUCGGUAGCCGGACUGAGAGGUCGGACGGCCACAUUGGGACUGAGACACGGCCCAAACUCCUACGGGAGGCAGCAGUGGGGGAUAUUGCACAAUGGAGGAAACUCUGAUGCAGCGACGCCGCGUGAGUGAAGAAGUAUUUCGGUAUGUAAAGCUCUAUCAGCAGGGAAGAUGAUGACGGUACCUGACUAAGAAGCCCCGGCUAACUACGUG